rnacentral:rRNA from 1 species
UACAGAGGGGGCAAGCGUUGUUCGGAAUUACUGGGCGUAAAGGGCGCGUAGGCGGCCUGUUAAGUCGGACGUGAAAUCCCUCGGCUCAACCGGGGAACUGCGUCCGAUACUGGCGGGCUUGAAUUCGGGAGAGGGAUGUGGAAUUCCAGGUGUAGCGGUGAAAUGCGUAGAUAUCUGGAGGAACACCGGUGGCGAAGGCGGCAUUCUGGACCUAACUGACACUGAGAGAC